UGAUUGCUAUAAUGACGGCAUAGUAGACAAGUGAAGAUGGUGGCGCUCCCUCCUAAGAGGAGGUGAUGCGUAUGGUCAACGACCAUAACGUUCAAUCCUAUGGAAAGGAGGUGCCUGGGUGAUUACAGUGAUGGACACUCUUCAACUGGUGGUAGCUUUUGCGAUUCUUAUCGUCAUGUUCAU
rnacentral:sRNA from 1 species